rnacentral:rRNA from 1 species
UACGUAGGGACCGAGCGUUGUCCGGAAUCAUUGGGCGUAAAGAGCGUGUAGGCGGCCCCUUAAGUCCUGCGUGAAAUCCUGCGGCUCAACCGCAGACGGUCGUGGGAAACUGGAGGGCUAGAGUGCGGGAGAGGAGAGUGGAAUUCCCGGUGUAGCGGUGAAAUGCGCAGAUAUCGGGAGGAACACCAAUGACGAAGGCAGCUCGCUGGAACGUUACUGACGCUGAGACGCGAAAGCAUGGGAAGCAAACAGG